AUUGAACGCUGGCGGCAGGCCUAACACAUGCAAGUCGAACGAGUGGCGGACGGGUGAGUAAUGUCUGGGAAACUGCCUGAUGGAGGGGGAUAACUACUGGAAACGGUAGCUAAUACCGCAUACCAUCGGAUGUGCCCAGAUGGUAUUAGCUUGUAUGUGAGGUAACGGCUCACCUAGGCGACGAUCCCUAGCUGGUCUGAGAGGAUGACCAGCCACACUGUAAAUGAGACACGGUCCAGACUCCGACGGGAGGCAGCAGUGGGGAAUAUUGCACAAUGGGCGCAAGCCUGAUGCAGCCAUGCCGAGUGUAUGAAGAAGGCCUUCGGGUUGUAAAGUACUUUCAGCGGGGAGGCGUUACCCGCAGAAGAAGCAACGGCUAACUCCGGGCCAGCAGCCGCGGUAAUAC
rnacentral:rRNA from 1 species